CAGUCGCCGCGGUAAUACAGAGGAUGCAAGCGUUAUCCGGAAUGAUUGGGCAUAAAGCGUCUGUAGGUGGCUUUUUAAGUCCGCCGUCAAAUCCCAAGGCUCAACCCUGGACAGGCGGCGGAAACUACCAAGAUGGAGUACGGUAGGGGCAGAGGGAAUUUCCGGUGGAGCGGUGAAAUGCGUUGAGAUCGGAAAGAACACCAACGGUGAAAGCACUCUGCUGGGCCGACACUGACACUGAGAGACGAAAGCUAGGGGAGCAAAUGGGAUUAGAUACCCCCGUAGUCCCUGUCUCUUAUAA
rnacentral:rRNA from 1 species